rnacentral:rRNA from 1 species
CGACUAAGCGUACACGGUGGAUGCCCUGGCAGUCAGAGGCGAUGAAGGACGUGCUAAUCUGCGAUAAGCGUCGGUAAGGUGAUAUGAACCGUUAUAACCGGCGAUUUCCGAAUGGGGAAACCCAGUGUGAUUCGUCACACUAUCAUUAACUGAAUCCAUAGGUUAAUGAGGCGAACCGGGGGAACUGAAACAUCUAAGUACCCCGAGGAAAAGAAAUCAACCGAGAUUCCCCCAGUAGCGGCGAGCGAACGGGGAGGAGCCCAGAGCCUGAAUCAGUGUGUGUGUUAGUGGAAGCGUCUGGAAAGGCGCGCGAUACAGGGUGACAGCCCCGUACACAAAAAUGCACAUGCUGUGAGCUCGAUGAGUAGGGCGGGACACGUGGUAUCCUGUCUGAAUAUGGGGGGACCAUCCUCCAAGGCUAAAUACUCCUGACUGACCGAUAGUGAACCAGUACCGUGAGGGAAAGGCGAAAAGAACCCCGGCGAGGGGAGUGAAAAAGAACCUGAAACCGUGUACGUACAAGCAGUGGGAGCCUCUUUAUGGGGUGACUGCGUACCUUUUGUAUAAUGGGUCAGCGACUUAUAUUCUGUAGCAAGGUUAACCGAAUAGGGGAGCCGAAGGGAAACCGAGUCUUAACUGGGCGUUAAGUUGCAGGGUAUAGACCCGAAACCCGGUGAUCUAGCCAUGGGCAGGUUGAAGGUUGGGUAACACUAACUGGAGGACCGAACCGACUAAUGUUGAAAAAUUAGCGGAUGACUUGUGGCUGGGGGUGAAAGGCCAAUCAAACCGGGAGAUAGCUGGUUCUCCCCGAAAGCUAUUUAGGUAGCGCCUCGUGAAUUCAUCUCCGGGGGUAGAGCACUGUUUCGGCAAGGGGGUCAUCCCGACUUACCAACCCGAUGCAAACUGCGAAUACCGGAGAAUGUUAUCACGGGAGACACACGGCGGGUGCUAACGUCCGUCGUGAAGAGGGAAACAACCCAGACCGCCAGCUAAGGUCCCAAAGUCAUGGUUAAGUGGGAAACGAUGUGGGAAGGCCCAGACAGCCAGGAUGUUGGCUUAGAAGCAGCCAUCAUUUAAAGAAAGCGUAAUAGCUCACUGGUCGAGUCGGCCUGCGCGGAAGAUGUAACGGGGCUAAACCAUGCACCGAAGCUGCGGCAGCGACGCUUAUGCGUUGUUGGGUAGGGGAGCGUUCUGUAAGCCUGCGAAGGUGUACUGUGAGGUAUGCUGGAGGUAUCAGAAGUGCGAAUGCUGACAUAAGUAACGAUAAAGCGGGUGAAAAGCCCGCUCGCCGGAAGACCAAGGGUUCCUGUCCAACGUUAAUCGGGGCAGGGUGAGUCGACCCCUAAGGCGAGGCCGAAAGGCGUAGUCGAUGGGAAACAGGUUAAUAUUCCUGUACUUGGUGUUACUGCGAAGGGGGGACGGAGAAGGCUAUGUUGGCCGGGCGACGGUUGUCCCGGUUUAAGCGUGUAGGCUGGUUUUCCAGGCAAAUCCGGAAAAUCAAGGCUGAGGCGUGAUGACGAGGCACUACGGUGCUGAAGCAACAAAUGCCCUGCUUCCAGGAAAAGCCUCUAAGCAUCAGGUAACAUCAAAUCGUACCCCAAACCGACACAGGUGGUCAGGUAGAGAAUACCAAGGCGCUUGAGAGAACUCGGGUGAAGGAACUAGGCAAAAUGGUGCCGUAACU